AGAGUUAAACUUGAAAGUUUUCAAAACGGACGCUUAGAAGAAUGUUUAGAAAUUAAUUUCCCUGAAAAACCUGGAAGUGAGAAAAAUGUGGAAAAGCUAUUACAUUCUUUGGAAAAAAUCUGGGAGGAAGUUAAUCAGAAAAAAGAGAAAAACAUCAAAGUAUUCGGAUUAUUUUAAUAAACUUUGAAAGAUGGCUUAAUUAGGACAAUUUUUUGUUUAGAGUAUAAUUAAAAUUGAUCUCAACUGUGAUAGAUUGAAGUCAGCUGAUCACUCAGCAGCCGCCUUUAACGUCUCUAAGCUAUCACAGCUGAGAUGUAUUAACGUCUCUAAGCUAUCACAGCUGAAAUGUAUCAACGUCUCUAAGCUAUCACAGCUGAAAUGUAUCAACGCCUCUAAGCUAUCACAGCUGGGAUGUAUUAACGUCUCUAAGCUAUCACAGCUGAGAUGUAUCAACGUCUCUAAGCUAUCACAGCUGAGAUGUAUCAACGUCUCUAAGCUAUCACAGCUGAGUUGUAUUACCGUC